rnacentral:rRNA from 1 species
AUACGGAGGAUGCGAGCGUUAUCCGGAUUUAUUGGGUUUAAAGGGUGCGCAGGCGGCCAUUUAAGUCAGCGGUUAAAUCGUGGGGCUCAACCCCAUUCUGCCGUUGAUACUGGGUGGCUUGAUUGCGGUCGAGGUUGGCGGAAUUCGUUGUGUAGCGGUGAAAUGCAUAGAUAUGACGAAGAACACCGAUUGCGUAGGCGGCUGACCAGAUCGCAAAUGACGCUCAUGCACGAAAGUGCGGGGAUCGAACAGGAUUAGAUACCCUGGUAGUCCGCACAGUAAACGAUGAAUACUUGUUUUCGGCGAUAUAAUGUCGGAGGCAAAGCGAAAGCGAUAAGUAUUCCACCUGGGGAGUACGCCGGCAACGGUGAAACUCAAAUGAAUUGACGGGG